GACGAACGCUGGCGGCGUGCUUAACACAUGCAAGUCGAACGGAAAGGCCCUGCUUUUGUGGGUGCUCGAGUGGCGAACGGGUGAGUAACACGUGAGUAACCUGCCCUUGACUUUGGGAUAACUUCAGGAAACUGGGGCUAAUACCGGAUAGGAGCUCCUGCUGCAUGGUGGGGGUUGGAAAGUUUCGGCGGUUGGGGAUGGACUCGCGGCUUAUCAGCUUGUUGGUGGGGUAGUGGCUUACCAAGGCUUUGACGGGUGGCCGGCCUGAGAGGGUGACCGGCCACAUUGGGACUGAGAUACGGCCCAGACUCCUACGGGAGGCAGCAGUGGGGAAUAUUGCACAAUGGGCGGAAGCCUGAUGCAGCAACGCCACGUGCGGGAUGACGGCCUUCGGGUUGUAAACCGCUUUCGCCUGUGACGAAGCGUGAGUGACGGUAAUGGGUAAAGAAGCACCGGCUAACUACGUG
rnacentral:rRNA from 1 species